AGUGAACGCUGGCGGCAUGCCUAACACAUGCAAGUCGAACGAAGGCUUCGGCCUUAGUGGCGCACGGGUGCGUAACGCGUGGGAAUCUGCCCUUGGGUUCGGAAUAACUCAGAGAAAUUUGAGCUAAUACCGGAUGAUGACGUAAGUCCAAAGAUUUAUCGCCCAAGGAUGAGCCCGCGUAGGAUUAGCUUGUUGGUGAGGUAAAGGCUCACCAAGGCGACGAUCCUUAGCUGGUCUGAGAGGAUGAUCAGCCACACUGGGACUGAGACACGGCCCAGACUCCUACGGGAGGCAGCAGUGGGGAAUAUUGGACAAUGGGCGAAAGCCUGAUCCAGCAAUGCCGCGUGAGUGAAGAAGGCCCUCGGGUUGUAAAGCUCUUUUGUCCGGAAAGAAAGCAUCUGGUUAAUACCCGGGUGUUCUGACGGUACCGGAAGAAUAAGCACCGG
rnacentral:rRNA from 1 species